GACGAACGCUGGCGGCGCGCUUAACACAUGCAAGUCGAACAGAAAGGCCUGCUUUCCCUUGUGGAUUGCGGGUACUCGAGUGGCGAACGGGUGAGUAACACGUGAGUGAUCUGCCCCCAACUUGGGUAUAAGCCUGGGAAACUGGGUCUAAUUCCCGAUAGGACUGCAGGGUGGUGCCUGUGGUGGAAAACGAUUUUCUAGUGGUUGGGGAUGAGCUCGCGGCCUAUCAGCUUGUUGGUGGGGUAAUGGCCUACCAAGGCGGCGACGGGUAGCCGGCCUGAGAGGGUGGACGGCCACAUUGGGACUGAGAUACGGCCCAGACUCCUACGGGAGGCAGCAGUGGGGAAUAUUGCACAAUGGGCGGAAGCCUGAUGCAGCGACGCCGCGUGGGGGAUGACGGCCUUCGGGUUGUAAACUCCUUUCGACCGCGAGGAAGCCACCUGGUUGGAAGGGUGGUGACGGUAGUGGUAGAAGAAGCACCGGCUAACUACGUG
rnacentral:rRNA from 1 species